CCUACGGGAGGCUGCAGUGAGGAAUAUUGGUCAAUGGACGAGAGUCUGAACCAGCCAAGUAGCGUGAAGGAUGACUGCCCUAUGGGUUGUAAACUUCUUUUAUAUGGGAAUAAAAUGUUCCACGUGUGGGAUUUUGUAUGUACCAUAUGAAUAAGGAUCGGCUAACUCCGUGCCAGCAGCCGCGGUAAUACGGAGGAUCCGAGCGUUAUCCGGAUUUAUUGGGUUUAAAGGGAGCGUAGGUGGAAUGUUAAGUCAGUUGUGAAAGUUUGCGGCUCAACCGUAAAAUUGCAGUUGAAACUGGCAGUCUUGAGUACAGUAGAGGUGGGCGGAAUUCGUGGUGUAGCGGUGAAAUGCUUAGAUAUCACGAAGAACUCCGAUUGCGAAGGCAGUUCACUGGACUGCAACUGACACUGAGGCUCGAAAGUGUGGGUAUCAAACAGGAUUAGAUAACCGAGUAGUC
rnacentral:rRNA from 1 species